rnacentral:rRNA from 1 species
CCUACGGGAGGCAGCAGUGGGGAAUCUUGCGCAAUGGGCGAAAGCCUGACGCAGCAACGCCGCGUGCGGGAAGAAGGCUUUCGGGCUGUAAACCGCUUUCAGCAGGAACGAAAAUGACGGUACCUGCAGAAGAAGGAGCGGCCAACUAUGUGCCAGCAGCCGCGGUGAUACAUAGGCUUCAAGCGUUGUCCGGAUUUAUUGGGCGUAAAGAGUUCGUAGGCGGUCGAGUAAGUCGGGUGUGAAAAUUCUGGGCUCAACCCAGAGACGCCACCCGAUACUGCUUGACUUGAGUUCGAUAGGGGAGUGGGGAAUUCCUAGUGUAGCGGUGAAAUGCGCAGAUAUUAGGAGGAACACCGGUGGCGAAGGCGCCACUCUGGAUCGAUACUGACGCUGAGGAACGAAAGCAUGGGUAGCAAACAGGAUUAGAUACCCUGGUAGUCCAUGCCGUAAACGGUGGGCACUAGGUGUGGGUUUCUAUUAACGAAAUCCGCGCCGUCGCUAACGCAUAAGUGCCCGCCUGGGAGUCGGUCGCAAGACAAAACUCAAAUGAAUUGACGGCUUGAGAGUUGCGAGCGACGACGAGGGAGAGG